rnacentral:rRNA from 1 species
AAUCAACGCUGGCGGCGUGCCUCAGACAUGCAAGUCGAACGAGAAAGUCCCCUUCGGGGGAUAAGUAAAGUGGCGCACGGGUGAGUAACACGUAGGUAAUCUACCUUCGGGUGGGGAAUAACCCAGGGAAACUUGGGCUAACACCGCAUAAUGCAGCGGCACCACAUGGUGACAGUUGUUAAAGCGGGGGAUUUUCGGACCUCGCGCCUGAAGAGGAGCCUGCGGCGGAUUAGCUAGUUGGAAGGUAACGGCUUACCAAGGCAACGAUCCGUAGCCGGCCUGAGAGGGCGGUCGGCCACACUGACACUGACAUACGGGUCAGACUCCUACGGGAGGCAGCAGUCGGGAAUUUUGGGCAAUGGGCGAAAGCCUGACCCAGCAACGCCGCGUGAAGGAUGAAAUCCCUCGGGAUGUAAACUUCGCAAGAAUGGGAAGAAUUAGCGAGCGCUAAUACCGCUCGUGAUGACGGUACCAUUUGUAAGCUCCGGCUAACUCCGUGCCAGCAGCCG